rnacentral:rRNA from 1 species
CCGCCCCGAAUUGUAGUCUAGAAAGGCGCCAUCGGCCGCGCCCGCCGCUCAAAUCCCUUGGAACAGGGUAUCGGAGAAGGUGAGAAUCCUGUACCGUGGUGGUCCGCGGCCGCACGAUGCGCCCUUGCAGAGUCGGGUUGCUUGGGAUUGCAGCUUGAAGUGGGUGGUAAAUUCCAUCUAAAGCUAAAUAUUGGCUCAUGACCGAUAGCGAACAAGUACCGUGAGGGAAAGAUGCAAAGAACUUUGAAAAGAGAGUUAAAGAGUGCUUGAAAUCGGCGAGAGGAAACCCAUUUGCGCCCGGUUUGUGCCGUCGACUCAGCCGUCUCGAAGCGGUGCACUUUGUCGGCACGGGUCCGCCGCGACUAUGCGCGUCUCAUAAUCACUGGGGAGGCUUCGGUGAGCCCAGACAUGUUCGCGCGUGGUCUCGUCGGACGGAACGGGCGCAACUGACCCGUCUAGAAACACGGACCAAGGAGUCUGACACGGAUGCGAGUACCCGGGUGGCAAGCCCGCGUGCGCAAUGAAAGUGAAGGGCGUGCCCCGCCAACCGACCUUGAUCUUCUGUGAAGGGUUUGAGUCGAGCAUCACUGUCGGGACCCGAAAGAUGGUGAACUAUGCCUGAGGAGGUUGAAGUCUGCCGAAAGGCAGAUGGAGGACCGUAGCGAUACUGACGUGCAAAUCGUUCGUCGAACUUGGGUAUAGGGGCGAAAGACUAAUCGAACCAUCUAGUAGCUGGUUCCCUCCGAAGUUUCCCUCAGGAUAGCUUGGACGCAAGGGUUUUGU